AUACGUAGGGGGCGAGCGUUGUCCGGAUUUACUGGGCGUAAAGGGUGAGUAGGCGGUUAUGUAUGUCAGGUGUAAAAGGCGUAGGCUUAACUUACGUUAGCACUUGAAACUGCAUAACUUGAGUGCAGGAGAGGUAAGUGGAAUUCCUAGUGUAGCGGUGAAAUGCGUAGAUAUUAGGAGGAACACCAGUGGCGAAGGCGACUGACUGGACUGUAACUGACGCUGAGUCACGAAAGCGUGGGUAGCAAACAGGAUUAGAUACCCUGGUAGUCCACGCUGUAAACGAUGAGUGCUAGGUGUUGUGUAGCGAUAUUCAGUGCCGAAGUAAACACAAUAAGCACUCCGCCUGGGGAGUACGGUCGCAAGACUGAAACUCAAAGGAAUUGACGGGG
rnacentral:rRNA from 1 species